AUUGAACGCUGGCGGCAUGCCUUACACAUGCAAGUCGAACGGUAACAGGUCUUCGGAUGCUGACGAGUGGCGAACGGGUGAGUAAUACAUCGGAACGUGCCCAGACGUGGGGGAUAACGAGGCGAAAGCUGCGCUAAUACCGCAUACGAUCUAUGGAUGAAAGCGGGGGACCGUAAGGCCUCGCGCGAUUGGAGCGGCCGAUAUCAGAUUAGGUAGUUGGUGGGGUAAAGGGCUCACCAAGCCAACGAUCUGUAGCUGGUCUGAGAGGACGACCAGCCACACUGGAACUGAGACACGGUCCAGACUCCUACGGGAGGCAGCAGUGGGGAAUUUUGGACAAUGGACGCAAGUCUGAUCCAGCCAUUCCGCGUGCAGGAUGAAGGCCCUCGGGUUGUAAACUGCUUUUGUACGGAACGAAAAGGUUUCUAUUAAUACUAGGAGCUCAUGACGGUACCGUAAGAAUAAGCACCGGCUAACUACGUGCCAGCAGCCG
rnacentral:rRNA from 1 species